rnacentral:rRNA from 1 species
UACGUAGGGUGCAAGCGUUAAUCGGAAUUACUGGGCGUAAAGCGUGCGCAGGCGGUGAUGUAAGACAGUUGUGAAAUCCCCGGGCUCAACCUGGGAACUGCAUCUGUGACUGCAUCGCUGGAGUGCGGCAGAGGGGGAUGGAAUUCCGCGUGUAGCAGUGAAAUGCGUAGAGAUCCGGAGGAACACCGACGGCGUAGGCAGCGCCCUGGACGACACCUGACGCUGAGGCACGAAAGCUGGGGGAGCGAACAGG